GACGAACGCUGGCGGCGUGCUUAACACAUGCAAGUCGAACGGAAAGGCCCUGCUUUUGUGGGGUGCUCGAGUGGCGAACGGGUGAGUAACACGUGAGUAACCUGCCCUUGACUUUGGGAUAACUUCAGGAAACUGGGGCUAAUACCGGAUAGGAGCUCCUGCUGCAUGGUGGGGGUUGGAAAGUUUCGGCGGGUGGGGAUGGACUCGCGGCUUAUCAGCUUGUUGGUGGGGUAGUGGCUUACCAAGGCUUUGACGGGUCGCCGGCCUGAGAGGGUGACCGGCCACAUUGGGACUGAGAUACGGCCCAGACUCCUACGGGAGGCAGCAGUGGGGAAUAUUGCACAAUGGGCGGAAGCCUGAUGCAGCAACGCCGCGUGCGGGAUGACGGCCUUCGGGUUGUAAACCGCUUUCGCCUGUGACGAAGCGUGAGUGACGGUAAUGGGUAAAGAAGCACCGGCUAACUACGUG
rnacentral:rRNA from 1 species